rnacentral:rRNA from 1 species
UGGCCUACGGGGGGCAGCAGUCGGGAAUAUUGCGCAAUGGAGGAAACUCUGACGCAGUGACGCCGCGUAUAGGAAGAAGGUUUUCGGAUUGUAAACUAUUGUCGAUAGGGAAGAAAAAAGACUGUACCUAUCAAGAAAGCUCCGGCUAACUACGUGCCAGCAGCCGCGGUAAUACGUAGGAUGCGAGCGUUAUCCGGAUUCAUUGGGUUUAAAGGGUGCGCAGGCGGGCCUUUAAGCC